UGGGGAAUUUUGGACAAUGGGCGCAAGCCUGAUCCAGCCAUUCCGCGUGAGUGAAGAAGGCCUUCGGGUUGUAAAGCUCUUUCGCAAGGGAAGAACACUUAGCUACUAAUAUUAGCUGAGGUUGACGGUACCUUGAUAAGAAGCACCGGCUAACUACGUGCCAGCAGCCGCGGUAAUACGUAGGGUGCGAGCGCUAAUCGGAAUUACUGGGCGUAAAGCGUGCGCAGGCGGUUUUGUAAGUCAGAUGUGAAAUCCCCGGGCUCAACUUGGGAACUGCGUUUGAAACUACAAGACUAGAAUAUGUCAGAGGGGGGUAGAAUUCCACGUGUAGCAGUGAAAUGCGUAGAGAUGUGGAGGAAUACCAAUGGCGAAGGCAGCCCCCUGGGAUAAUAUUGACACUGAGGAGCGAAAGUCUGGGGAGCAAACAGG
rnacentral:rRNA from 1 species